AAACAUCGUGACCAACUUAACUCCUCUUUCAGGAAAUGUUCACUUCUUUCCAUUAAUCUCAUGUUCUCUUUGUAACAAUUUAGAAAUCAUAGGACUUGAAGUUCUGAUAAAGAAGAAUGAUGUAUGAGUUUUUUGGUUUUUUUUUUUUUUGUAUUUUUGUUUGUUGUUUGUUUUUUUUUUUACUAGUUAGUUUGGGAUUCUAAAGACUUGGGAAAGACACUUAGAAGGUUCACCAGCAGAGAAUGACUGUUUCCAAAGUUCUUAGUGAUAAAUGAUUUAUGAAGCCGGCAUUCAGUUUCAAGAUGUAAAGUAAUAGUGCAAGUGGGCUGGGGGCGGAGAUCAUCCCUCAGAGAUAUACAUCGUUUCCUAUUUUUUCCUCCACGAAAUAGCUUAUUUCAAAAAGGAAAAUCAGAACCUGUAGGGAGAGCCCUGCGAAUUUUUUUCCCCUGUCAGCAACAAUAAAAUACUUUGUCAAUAGAGGCAACUUCAUGGAGAAGUUUUAUGGGAAGACACAGAACUGAGCCUGACAAGAGGGAGAAACUGACGUGCUUGAUGUGCGAGUGGUCAAAGUUGAAAGCUGGUCCCUCAGUGAGCGCUCGCUGUUGGGUUGCAGGAUUUUUCUAAAGGGUCGUCUAGUCAGUCAGAGGUUUCCCUGGCUCCGUGAUCACCCAGGAGUGUCACAGCAGCCGAGAAAGGCUUUCCAUUAGAUAAUGAGUUAUGAAAUAUGUCUCACACUGGAAAAACCAGUCAUCUGCUGAUGUCAUUCUGCUUCCAACCAAUCCCAAACAAAGCCCCAGCCCUCCCUGCUUGACUGGUACCAAUGUGUGACUGUACAAAUAAGUAGUACAGUAUAAAAAUUCUCAGUGCCAAUGCCAUGAAGAGGAACUCCGAAGGCACUUGCCACAUGAUACAAGAGUCUGCUGGUGAAAGAGAGAGGACCGGAAAGCCACAAACCUACAGCCCCGACUGCAUCCAGAGAGGGAACCUGCAAACAAACUUCACAGCAA
rnacentral:lncRNA from 1 species